UACCCCUACGGGGCGCAGCAGUGGGGAAUAUUGCACAAUGGGGGGAACCCUGAUGCAGCGACGCCGCGUGAGUGAAGAAGUAUUUCGGUAUGUAAAGCUCUGUCAGCAGGGAAGAAGAAAGACGGUACCUGACUAAGAAGCCCCGGCUAAAUACGUGCCAGCAGCCGCGGUAAUACGUAUGGGGCAAGCGUUAUCCGGAUUUACUGGGUGUAAAGGGAGCGUAGGCGGCCUGGCAAGCCUGAUGUGAAAUACCGGGGCCCAACCCCGGGGCUGCAUUGGGAACUGCCAGGCUGGAGUGCCGGAGA
rnacentral:rRNA from 1 species